GAGACACACAACACCACACCCUCACCGGACGCCAGCAAGCUAUUGCCAUCCUGUAGUCGCCACACCUCCAGGCUGGUCGUGGCUUGGGGGGGAACCGUACAUUUUCUCCUCAGUUCUGUGUCUUAAUUUUAGCAGGGAGUUCUCCAGGCACACGCCAGCAUUGCCGCCAAGGACUUCACACUGCACUGCCCGAAACACCCGUCGAGGGUGAUGAGGAUGAGGAGACAGUCAAGAUUGUGCAGUGGGUGAAGAGCAAUGAGCCAAUGGGAGCCACCAUCAAGCAGGACGACCAAUCCGGAGCCAUCAUCAUCACCCGCAUCAUGCAUGGCUGACUGCUCCGGCCUCAUCCAUGCUGCCGACGAGGUGCAGGGGUCAACACCUUCAAUGUGGAGGGCAAGACACCGGCGGAUGUCC